rnacentral:rRNA from 1 species
GAUGAACGCUGGCGGCGUGCCUAAUACAUGCAAGUCGAGCGAACGGACGAGAAGCUUGCUUCUCUGAUGUUAGCGGCGGACUGGUGAGCAACACGUGGAUAACCUACCUAUAAGACUGGGAUAACUUCGGGAAACCGGAGCUAAUACCGGAUGAUAUUUUGAACCGCAUGGUUCAAAAGUGAAAGACGGUCUUGCUGUCACUUAUAGAUGGAUCCGCGCUGCAUUAGCUAGUUGGUAAGGUAACGGCUUACCAAGGCAACGAUGCAUAGCCGACCUGAGAGGGUGAUCGGCCACACUGGAACUGAGACACGGUCCAGACUCCUACGGGAGGCAGCAGUAGGGAAUCUUCCGCAAUGGGCGAAAGCCUGACGGAGCAACGCCGCGUGAGUGAUGAAGGUCUUCGGAUCGUAAAACUCUGUUAUUAGGGAAGAACAUAUGUGUAAGUAACUGUGCACAUCUUGACGGUACCUAAUCAGAAAGCCACGGCUAACUACGUG